rnacentral:lncRNA from 1 species
GCGGCUGGAGCCGGGGGACAGCUGCGGUUAGGCAAUGGUGAGGCUUGUCAUCAGAUGCAGAGAAGGGCGGCUUUGUUACCGGCUCCCUCCCGGACAGAGAGCCCCUGCCCCCGCUGGCGAGGUAACAAGGAGAGCCUUGUGACUUCACUUCUUCCGGAUCAACAGCACGCUUGUCCUGACUUCCCGCUUCUGCAACUAUUUUCACCUGGAAGGAAAAAAAAGUGCCAUGUUAAGAAAAGCAGGAGCUCUCCUUCUUUUCAGCCUUGGAGUAUGGCUUUCCCGAACGGUCCUUGUCAUCUGUUCCCCUGUGUGAGUCUUCCUUUAAGACCUGGACAGUGUCUGAGGGAGGGAGGCAGGUAGCCCGUCCCUCUUUCUAGAAACAACAAGGCGUGUCUCGAUGGAGAACGCUCAGUGGGCACACGAGACAUACAGGAGCUUGGGGAUGUGCCCUCGCCCUUUGUGGCAUUUGGGAGCACAAGUGUCAGAGCCGUGGGGGCUCCUGCCACCCCCUCACCACAGGGAAGCUUGCUUUCUAAACACCUUUGAGCAGCGGAAGGCCAAUUUUCUCCCUGUGUCCCCCACCCCACCGAGUGGCCCUGGGAACAGAGGGAGUCUUCUCCUGGCAAGACAGCGGUGACAGCGAUGCCGACAGGUGACCUGACAGCCCUGAGUCCCUCGGAGGAUGGAUCUGAAGCAGGAUGAGAAAGGGAACACGAAAUGGACCAGCCCUGGACGCGGGCACUCGCCAAGUCCAUGGGCCAGGCUCCCCCUUCUCUGCCCACACAGGGGGCUGGUGCUGGGCAGGGUCGCAGCCAGCACAGGGAGGGCUUGGGUGACAGCGAUGCUGACAGAGGGUGCGAUUUAGUCAGCAUCCACAAGGAAACUGCAUGCUCCAGCCAAGAGAAGCCCCGGAGGGUUUACUCAGCAAAGGGACCGAUUUCCAGAGUGGGUACUGGGUGUGGGAGACACAGAUGCUGGGGGCCUCACAGUGCCCCCCCUCCCCAGCCCAGGGGAUGCAGGGAACGAGAGGGAACAGGCCUUCUGUGCAGGGCAGCGAGCCGACCCGAGGUGACCCUGGCAGGGCACCAGCACCUGAAGGCCUCCUGCUGCUCCCUGCCCACCCCAUCCCAAGCGGCUUCCCUGGACCCAGCGAGGGUUCAUCUUUCCCACCCCCCCUCUCGUCCUGAGACUUUUGACAUUUCCCUCAGAAUUAAGAAGCAUGUGGUGCAGCAGGUUAAGGAUCUGGUGUGGCUGUACCUGUGGCACAGGUCACAACUGUGACUCGGGUUCCAUCCCUAGCCUGGGAACGUCCAUAGGCUGUGGGCGCAGCCAAAAAAAAAAAAAAGAAUCAUAAAACUGUUCAUUGCAGGAGUUCCUCUUGUGGCUCAAAGGGUUAAGAACCCGACACAGUGUCUGGGAGGAUGGGGGUUCAAAUCCUGGCCUCGCUCAGCAGGGUAAGCAACCAGCAUGGCCACAAGCUGCAGGGAAGAUCACAGAUGCGGCGCAGACCCAGUGUUGGCGUGGCUGUGUCGCAGGCCGGCCACUGCAGCUCCAAUUUGACUCCUAGCCCAGGAGCUUCCAUAUGCCACCAGUGCAGCCCCAAAAAGAAAAAAAUAAAGUGUUCACUGCAGAAGAACUAGAAGAUACAAAAAAUAGCAUGGGAGAAAAUUAAAGUCAGCAGCAACUGCACCAUGAAGGUAGCAGAGAGAAUGAAUGCUCUGCCCGUGUCUACGUAGAUAUUUAUUUAAAAAUUCCAGAUCAGGAGUUCCCAUUGUGGUUCAGUGGUUAACGAAUCCAACUAGGAACCAUGAGGAUGUGGGUUGGAUCCCUGGCAUCGCUCAGUGGGUCAAGGAUCCGGCGUUGCCGUGAGCUGUGGUGUAGGUUGCAGAUGCGGCUCGGAUCCCGCGUUGCAGUGGCUGUGGUGCAGGCCGGUGGCUACAGCUCUGAUUAGACCCCUAGCCUGGGAACCACCAUUUGCCACGGGAGCGGCCCUGAAAAGACAAAAAAAUAAAAGUUGAUUAUUAUUAUUACUUUUCUUUUCUUUUUUUUUUUUGGUGGCGAUCGUGGCAUGUGGAUGUGGAGGGCCUGGGCCAGAGAUCAAACCGGCACCACAGCAGUGACAACCCGGGAACUCUUGAAUGUGGAUUCUGUCGGGGAGGAAAAUCUUUUCCUCUUUCUUUUCUAGGUUCUUUGGCUGGUCUAUAUAUUUUUAAAUUAUUAUUAUUAUUAUUUGCUUUUUAGGGCCGCAUCCAUGGCAUAUGGAAAUUCCCAGGCUAGGGGGUCAAAGCAGAGCUGCAGCUGCCAGCCUACCCCACAACCACAGCCACGCAGGAUCUGAGCCAGUCUGCGACCUACCCCACAGCUCAUGGCAACGCUGGAUCCAUAACCCACUGAGCGAGGCCAGGGAUCGAACCUGUGUCCUCAUGGAUACUAGUCGGAUUCCUAACCUGCAGAGCUACAAUAGGAGCUCCUGGCUGGUCUAAUAAUUAAACGGACGUGAGACAGAUUAACAAGAGGAAAACACAUUUCAUACCCGCGAGAGUCCCAUGAAUCUGAGACUCGAACGCAGCCAGGCUGUUUCGGCGUCCGCCUCCUGAACGUAGCAGAGGGGGCGGGAGUCCGGCUUCAAGCGGAGGAAGACCAGCCCUGGGAAGCUGAGAAGAGGAGCUGUUUGGUAACCGGGUGUUUGAUCUGCAGAUCAGAUUAUGAUCUGCAGAUCAGAUUACUUCUGAAUCGCUCUUUUCCUGGGCCGGCCCCUGUCUAAAUUCUUUCAGGCAGUUAAGGAGCAGUUACAAGCUUUUCCGAGUCUGCCUGGUCUUAGUGGCCUUCAGCUCCAACAGGCCACAUGCAGACUGACACAUGGGGUGGGGGGGAUCUUCCGGUCCCCCCCUCAGUUCCAUAUCAGGUUGUGUUUCCUUACAAGAGAUGAUCCUACAGAGGUGAGGCAGGAAAGCUUCCUAACCAUUUUGGCCGGUAUCACCUAAGCCCUCUCCUGUGGCCUCUGGCCCACUUCCUUGGCCUGAGCCUAAAAUCCCAGGGAGUCCCUGCGGGAGCAGUGGCACAGCGGCCCAGGAAAGAGGAAGGGGCUGACCAGGGACUCUGUGUGCUUUUAGCCCUUUUGUAAAAACCAAGCGGCCUAGGCUGCAAGCAAUUGGUGAUUGAAAUAAAUAUCAAAAAGUAAAAUAAAAAACACGACAAAAUACCUUCCGGAGAGAUUUCCAAAGAUGGGACACUUCUUGCGGAGCAGGCAGGACCAGGAGCGUCCUUGGUGAGGGUAAGGGUCCCCAAGCCUAGGCAGGGGCUCCAUGUGACGAACCCCAAAACCUGAGACCUCCACCCACACUGGAGGCAACCUUCUAGAUGCUAGAGGAGCAAAGGAACUUGGCUGGGGCUGCUGGUCAUCGGCUUUGCACUUCUUGGCACACAGGAGAAGAAUCCAUGCUGGCUAAGUGCCAGUAAA